CACCAGUGGCAGACAGAAAUUGGGAAGUUGCUAUGUCUGCAUGUAAUGGUCAUUUACUACAGAAGAAAAACAGCAAAAGGGAGAUAAAAUCCAAAGGCAAGCAUUUGAGGUAUGCGGAUGAAGAGCACAAACCUUACUGAAAGACUGGAGCACAUCAGACUUGAAACUUCACAGUGGACAUUGUAAACAGCCUUCACCAAGACAUGCUGCACAAGUCUGGCUUUGUAUUAAUGGCAUGAGUGAUUCCUAACUUCCUAUUCAUACAGGAAUGGUGCUUCAAUUGUCUGCAAAGGCAAGCCCUUUGAUAGGUAAUAGUUCAUAACACUGGACAAGCG
rnacentral:lncRNA from 1 species